CCUCCCUGCGCCCGCCCGCCGCCUCCCUCCCUCCUUCCCUGCGGCUCCCCCGGCUUUCGGGAGCCCGGGGGCGGCCUGUGGCGCGCCGAGCCCGCGCCGGACUGCGCUUCUUUGGACCUUGAGGGGAAACAUGCGUUUGGCUUGGAUCGUUUUAAAUUCUUAGUUUGGGAUCCCCGCCCGCCUGCCUCUUCCGCCCCGCGGGUUUUCUUUUCUUUUUUCUUUUUCUUUUUUUUCCUUUUUUUCCUCCCGGUCUCCUUUUUGACUCCCUCCCCCUUUAUGCUCGCCCAACCCUCCCCCCGCUGCUGAGAAGUGGGGGAGGGUCUCGGCCUCCAGGUUCCCGCCCCACCGGGGCCCGGGCGAGCAUGGGGGGCAAGCAGAGCACGGCGGCCCGCUCCCGGGGCCCCUUUCCGGGGGUCUCCACCGAUGACAGCGCCGUGCCCCCGCCGGGAGGAGCGCCCCACUUUGGGCACUACCGGGCGGGCGGCGGGGCCAUGGGGCUGCGCAGCCGCUCAGUCAGCUCGGUGGCGGGCAUGGGCAUGGACCCCAGCACGGCCGGGGGGGUGCCCUUUGGCCUCUACACCCCCGCCUCCCGGGGGACCGGCGACUCGGAGAGGGCGCCCGGCGGCGGAGGGUCUGCGUCCGACUCCACCUAUGCCCAUGGCAAUGGUUACCAGGAGACCGGCGGCGGUCACCAUAGAGACGGGAUGCUGUACCUGGGCUCCCGAGCCUCGCUGGCGGAUGCUCUACCUCUGCACAUCGCACCCAGGUGGUUCAGCUCGCACAGUGGUUUCAAGUGCCCCAUUUGUUCCAAGUCUGUGGCUUCUGAUGAGAUGGAAAUGCACUUUAUAAUGUGUCUGAGCAAACCUCGCCUCUCCUACAACGAUGACGUGCUGACGAAAGACGCGGGUGAGUGUGUGAUCUGCCUGGAGGAGCUGCUUCAGGGGGACACGAUAGCCAGGCUGCCCUGCCUGUGCAUUUAUCACAAAAGGUAUGGAAGGGCCCCCAGGGCCGGCUCAGCUCCAUCUGCAAUCCCAGAGGGCCCCUUCCCUGCUGCUGGGGGAGGGGGGGCACCCGCACCACUAGCCAUUCAGUCCCCUCGGGUGGUGGGACAACCUCUUUGCCAAGGGCUCUAAGUAGGGGCAGAGCAGGUCUCUGGUGUGAUAGCCUGGAUGGUGAGGGCUGACAGAGAGACCUGCGGAGCCCCACAGGCGAGAGGCACUUAAGAUCCCACCCGGAAAGAGGUUGCUUUUGCAUGUCUCCCUGAGCCUCUUCUUCCUCCACGGGCCGCUCCACAGCACGAGAACUGUUGUCUGUGCCAGAGAGGCCGCACAGAGGGCUAGUGCGUGCAGCCUCUGUCCCUUCUCCCCUGAGGGCCAGAGGCAGGAAUAGCCACAACUUGGGCAGCCACGGCACGAAAAGCUGCUAGAAUUAGCAGGGCUCAGAGUCAUUCUCAGGCUCCGGUACGAGCCACGUUCUUGCUUCCAGCUAGAAAGAAGAUACCUCUUUUCCUAAGACGGGAGGACACUCUGUGCCAUCUGCUCUUGGCUCCCUGAGUCCCAGAACUUCUUCUGACACACGGGCUUUUUCACAGCCCGCCUCACGGGGCUACUGGCCACGAGGCGGUGGUGGUGUCUGGCACACAGAUGUGGCUGGUGCAUGAGAGGCUCCAGGUUGGCGCCGGGGGAGGGGGUCUUGGCCUGGGUCUGGCACAGAUUGCUCCAGCCCCCCGGGAGGCACAGCUCAGAACCAGAAGAUGGAAAUGCUGGGCUCUAGGGGAGAAUUAUGCAAAUUAUCUACCUGGUUCCUGUGUUUGAAAAUACCCAGAUGUUGGCUUACAAAUCAGAAAGCUUUCUUGGGGCAAUGUUUCCUGUCUGGUUCAGAUGGUCCUUUCUCUAAACACUAGAGACCAGGGUUUCACUGUCAGCCUCCUGUCUGGCCCUGUCUGACCGUCCCCAGCAACGUGACUGAGCCAGAGCGCUGGUCCUCCCCUUCCCUUCUCCUCCAGGAAGGGUUCUGGCCAUCCGCUGACCACAACUGACCAAGCCAUGUAGAGCUUGGCAGGGGUGGGGAGGGAGGAUGUCUCCUGAGAUGUCCCACCAGGGACAAAGCCUCAAGGCUGCCCCUUUGACCGAGGAGGGGGCUCUCCAGACCCUAGAGCUGGAGCAACAGCCAGCCUACUGGGUCUUGGUUCCCAUCUUCUUGUGCUUUAAGCCCGAGGGAUGGUGGGCUCACUGGCCAGCACGGCUGUCCCACUCUCACCCUCUCCCUGAUAGCUGUUACCCCACCACCACCCCGACCCCAUCCAGGCUCCACUCGGGUGAGGCCUUGGUCCCUCUCAGGGCCACACUCCCUGUUUCCUGCAGCUCCCAGAUCCACCCAAUCCUAUACCCACCCUGCUGGGCCGAUGCCUCAGGCUGAGCUGGCAUCAGUCUUGGUGUUCUCCCUUCUUGCUUCAAAAAGUGGGUGUCUGGGGACAUACUUGUUUUCCCCUGAGGUCCUCAUGAGUGAGAUUUAGCAAACCCCUGCUCAGAAGCCUAACCCCUGGAGAAUACGCCCUAAGGAACAGCCUGGUCAAUGGUAACGUAUCUCCCCUUGCCACCUCCCUGCCUCAGUUGCAUAGAUUCAUGGUUUGAAGUGAACAGAUCUUGUCCAGAACAUCCCGCGGACUGACCCUGCUGGGCUUGCUUGCGGACUCCUCUCAAAGGGACAGCCAGCCCCCGUUCCUGAGAGGAGGCAUCGGACACGGGCAGAGCUGAGCUGGGGACACCAGUGGGAACAGGGCACCCCUUCUGCACUGACUUCCAGAGAAUGGUUCUCCCUUUCUCCCUGAGGAUACCAAAUUGGAUGAGAGCGAGUUUGAGAGAAGAAUCAACUGCUAUCUUUCCCCUCAGCCCUCCUCCCAGGAGGGAAAGGGCAUUUUCUUUUACACCUUUGAAAGGCAUUGUGGGUCUGUCUAAAGUGUUUACAAAAAAAAAAAAAAAA